GAUGAACGCUGGCGGCGUGCCUAAUACAUGCAAGUCGAGCGAACGGACGAGAAGCUUGCUUCUCUGAUGUUAGCGGCGGACGGGUGAGUAACACGUGGAUAACCUACCUAUAAGACUGGGAUAACUUCGGGAAACCGGAGCUAAUACCGGAUAAUAUUUUGAACCGCAUGGUUCAAAAGUGAAAGACGGUCUUGCUGUCACUUAUAGAUGGAUCCGCGCUGCAUUAGCUAGUUGGUAAGGUAACGGCUUACCAAGGCAACGAUGCAUAGCCGACCUGAGAGGGUGAUCGGCCACACUGGAACUGAGACACGGUCCAGACUCCUACGGGAGGCAGCAGUAGGGAAUCUUCCGCAAUGGGCGAAAGCCUGACGGAGCAACGCCGCGUGAGUGAUGAAGGUCUUCGGAUCGUAAAACUCUGUUAUUAGGGAAGAACAUACGUGUAAGUAACUGUGCACAUCUUGACGGUACCUAAUCAGAAAACCACGGCUAACUACGU
rnacentral:rRNA from 1 species